rfam:Natronomonas pharaonis DSM 2160 complete genome
GGGCGCGUGGUCUAGUGGCUAUGACGUGGCCCUUACAAGGCCAAGAAGAUGGUUCAAUUCCAUCCGCGCCCA